UCCUUCCUCCUUUUCCUAAUUUAUUUAUUUUUUCUAUAUUAUCUGAGCCUUACUCUAGAAGUACUCUAACUCCAUCGUUAGUGUGUGUUGUUUGAGAUAGACAUUUUACUUUGCAAUUUUUAUCUGGAAGCAAGCAUAUUGCUCUGGCAUUAUGGAAAUCCUCAAAAUGGUGGUUUAUAUAUUACUGGUCGAUAGCUCAGAGAAUGAGGCAAACAGAGUGGUGGGAUUUAUUUUAGAAGGGUGGUUGCCCCUCUCUGUUUGAGCCUAUGAUUUCUUCAUUAAUUAUCCAAAAAUAAAUACCAACAACCCUUAAUUUCUGGUACUUACUUUUCAGCUUCUACUAUUACUACUUCUAGCUGAACCAAAGACUGCGGAUGUAUUUUUCCAUUGUUUGCUUUGCUAAGAUGUUAAAGGCCGUGAUGAUAUUUCUAGAUGAGCUAGGCACUAAGGGAUUGAUGAUAUAAAGUGACCUGUAUCUUGGUUGGGCAACCCGGACGGUAUCAUUUUGGGGGGUGUUUUGAUGAAUCACAAACUUUUCUUUGAUGCAACCGGUGUUUUGCAGCCAUGGCAGUGUCACAAACUCAAUGCCUGAUCAAUUACAGACCUGAGCCUGAUGUUUUUCUUGUUGUAGACGCAUGCAAAAAGGAUCCCUUAUUCGUUCCACCUUAAAUGCCUUUUCAACAACAUUCACUAAACAACUUAAGCCUACUAGCGUGUUGCCAGUACCUACUCCACUCCAACCCAAGGGUCACUUCCCCUCUCCUCUCCAUCACACUGCCCACUCCCUCCCCGCAAUGACCUUCUCCUUGCUCAAUGAAGCUUCAGUUGCACUUGACGUUCCCCUUCCCCUUCUCUCCCACCCACUUACUGCUCUUUUUAGGGUAUUUGAGGAGACAAGUUUGGCCCGAAGAUGAGUAUGGAGAUUAGUUUCUUAUUUUUUUGGGGAUUUUUGUUUUAUAAAUUAGGUGUUUCUGGAUGGAGAACUGUUUGGAAAAUUUUAUAUUGUAACAGUCUAGCACAUUUUAUGAUGUGAUGUAUGUGAGAAAAAAGGUGAUUGAAAAGAUGAAAAGCUGAUUGGAAAAUGUGUUGAUGAUGCAAUUAGUAAUGUUUUCCAAAUACUGUUGUAUCCAAACAAACUGAUUGUUUUUCGGAUGUUCUUGGAGGAUUAUUGUUACCUUUCCAUAAAUUUUAGUAAAGCAGAAAGUUUUUUGUUUUUUUUUUUUGGCCUCUGUUGCAAUGGGUAGACUUGGAUAUUUAGCUUCUUUUUUUACUCACUCAGUGGACUCAAUAUAAAUAGUCUGAGUUCGAGCAAGUUGCCAUCAAUUCUGGAUUCUGCAAAUUUUAGGGGCUUCCAUGUUGACUCCUAUUUGCCCGAGUCUUUGAACCAUGAAUAUAAGUGGGCAUCAGGAGGCAUUUCUCUCUCGACAGAAAGAAUGAAGAAUGAGGGUGCAGGGAGAGAUUCUGGUGGAGUUUCCAAGGGUGGUUGCCCCUCUCUCUCUCUGCUUUUUUCCCAAUGAUUUCUCAGUCUUUGAACAAAAAUAAAAAUGAAAAAUAGCCCUUAUUAGAAACAGAAGAAAAUGGAGUUAUUCUAUAUGCUAUAGCAUCAUUAAUGGGUUUGUUUGGAUUGUAAGUUAUUUGAGAUAUUUUUACUGUAGCACUUUUUGUGAUGUGAUGUAUGUGAGAUAAAAAGGUAAUUGGGAAGAUUAAAAAGGUGUAUUGAAAAUUGUAAUGAUGAUGCAAGUAAAUAUAUUUGGAAAAAUAAUCAGCUGUUAUCAGCAGCAGCAGCAGUACCUCAUAGUAACAGCACAAAACCCUUAAUCACUCUGCCCUCUUUUCCUGUGUGCUAGUAUAUGCAUUUCUAGGUUGUGAUGGUACUUCACUAUUUGUUUUUGAGUUGUGAAUAUCAGGAAGGGAGCUAAUUGGACUUGUAUCUUUUUGUGGGGGUUGGGGGUGGGGGCAACCCUGAUGGUAUUUUUUGAGAUGGGUUUUCCGGAGUCCAUGACAUGCAAUUGGGUUUGCAGCCAUGUUGGUUCCCAUUCCUCUUAGCCUGAUUUUUACUGUGCAUAUCUGGGCCUUUCUCUAGUUAGUGUGUGUGUGAGAGAGAGAGAGAGAGAGAGAGAGAGAGAGAGAGAGAUUUGUUGUGAUUUAGUUGGCAGUAGGAACAAGUGGCUCUGCCAUGGUGGGAAUCUUUAGCUAGUAAAUUUAGCUCAGAGAAUGACGCAAAUAGAGAGAUGGGAUUCCCUCAUUGUUUUAUGCCUAUGAUUUCUUCAUUAAUUAACCAAAUUUAGAAACCAACUGUCCUUGAUUUCCAGUAAUCAGUGCUGCUGCUGCUGCUACUACUACUACUACUAAUUGAAACUUAGACUGUAGUUAUAAUUCUAUGUUAUUUGGUUUGCUCUUUGACCAAAGGCCUUGGAGAAGUAUAGGAAAGAAAAGACUAAAGUGUUGAGGGCUAGGAUGAUAUUUGUAAUGAGCUAGGAAAAAAAGGCAUUGAUUUUAUAAAUUGACCCAUAUCUUGGUAGGCAACCUGGAUGGCACAGUUAUUACUUGGGUGUUUCUGUGUAUUAGUUUCUUUCACUAUAGCGCAACUAGUGAUUUGCAUCCAUGGCGGUGUCACAAACUUAAUACUUGGUCAAAUUCAGAUCUGAGCCUUGUGUUCUUGUUGUUUGCAGUAUUCUUGUGUUGAAGUCACAGGCAUAGAGUGGCCAUGCAUUUAUGCAGCUUGUGCAUUUCUGCUUAUCCUUGUUCAAAUAAGAUCUCUUUGCGACUUAUGAUUCUGGGUUUUCUUCAGGAGUUUUUCUCAUUUCUGAUGUGCUAAAUGCUGCUAUUUGCACUUGUUUAGCAUUUUACCAGUUCUGUAAAAGUGGAUAGCUCAUUGUUUUGGUGAAUUGGGUCUUUUAGUCCCUGGGUUGAUAGUCUCCUUGUUUUGGUGCCAAUGAGGCCUUGGUCUAGUGGCUAAGGUUGAGGCCCUAGGAAUUAGAAGUCCUGGGUUCAAAUCCCCCUGUCCCCUCAUGCUUCUUAAGUCCUGCCCCUUCCCUGCUGGAAAAAAAUUAAAAAAUAAAAGAAGUGGUGAUUUUGGUUCAAUAUAGAUUUUUCUACCUCUGUCGUUUUCAAUGUAAUUAUUUACAAGUCUGCAUUCAUUGUAGAUGAUUUGUUGUGUUUUGGUUGCUCUCUAGUGCUACUUGCAUUAGGUGGAUUUGAUUUUUUGUGGGUUACUGGAUAUGAACAUACAUUUUUUAAGCUGUAAUUAUUCAAUUUUUGGAAUUUUGAAGUGUAUUUUCCAAGGCUUCUGUCACUCCACCCAAGCUGUUGUAGCACAAUCUGCAUUCUUUCAUAAUCAAAAGUUGAAGACUCAGGCGCAAGAGAAAUAGGGAUUUUCAAUGGUGGUCAAUUUCUCCCUAAUCAGAUUUUUCAGAGGCUGUGGUGUUACUCACUUCCUUCUAAUGUAAGGAAUGAAUGAGGGUUAUGAUCGGGUUUGAACCUCCAUGAUAAAACAACCAGAGGACUGAAAACUAGGAGCUCCAAGACUGAUUGAGGCAUCAGAGAGAUGUGGGAUUUCUUCAAGCAGUGUUGCCUCUCUCUGUUUUUAGCCAAUGAUGUCUUCUUCUUCUUCUUCUUCAAAAGCCAACAACCCUUCUGUUUAAUUUAGUGUCCAUCCUUCUCAGGGUUUAAUUUCACUGAUCACCCUUUUGUACUACUACUGCUAGCAUUCACUGGAACCAAACAUGGCGUCCGACAACUUUGCAAAGUUUCUUGGGCCUAGUUUGGGAGUUUGAGAGAGAGAGAGAGAUUUUGUAUGGUCCCAUAAAAAAUGGCUGUGAUGAUUUUACAUCUCUGAAUGGGAGCUGAGUUGUUUUUUUCUCCCUCAGGGCAAUUGAGGUGAACCGACCCGCAUCUUGGCAGGGCAACCCUGAUGGCCUGCAUGCAACAGGGUUUUGCAGCCAUGGCGGUGUUUCUCUACUUCUUUGCCCAAAGCCUAAAGUUUUUAAAAGAUCUGAGCCCAUUUUUCUCAAGGUUCACAUCCUUAGCAUGCCUUUCUGAAAUUGUCCCUUUACUCAUGUAGCCUCUAAGGGAUGAGGCAUUAUACUUCUUUCAACUGAAAGAUCGAAAGAAUGAUGGGGCAGAGAGAGUGUACUGUUGGGGCGAGUUUCUAAGGGUGGCUGCCCCUCUCUGCAUUUCCCCCAAUGAUUUCUCAGUCCUCAAACAAGGAAGAAAGAAUAAACCACCCUUGGAAAACGAAAAAGAAAGGAAUACACAAAUAUCGUAUUAUUUGUUCUGGUUCUGGUACUGUAACUGUGAUGCAAUUCACACGUGCUUUGUGAUGCAAUCCGGAUGGUAUGUUUUUAUGGGUUAUCCCUUCUCACAUGCAACUCGAUUUGCAGCCAUUGCGGAACCUUUCCCCCUUUACCCAUUUCUUUUAUAAAACUGAGCCUCGUUUUUUGUGUGUGUUCGAAUCUUGUAGAAAUCCUCCUUGAAUAGUGGUACCUGUCACUGGUAAUUUUUAGCUCCAAGAAUGAGGCAUCAGGGAGAUGGGAUUUCUUUGAAGGGUCGUUGCCCCUCUCUGUUUCGCCUGUGAUUUCUUCAUUACCCAAUGCAAAACCAACGGCCCUUCAUUACUAGUAUCUAGUAGUAGUAGUGAUAAUAAUAAUAAUCAGACUUCAGAAUGCAGCUGAUAUUGAGCUUGUUCUUGUAUGCUUUAGAUUUUGUAAAUGCUUAUGGAAAGUGGCACUAGAGAAUAAUCAUAAUCAGCUGAGGCUACUCAUUGGUGGAUUUUGCAUUUCAGAUUUUUUGGCCAUUAACAAAUGUAAAAUGCAGAUGCAAAAAAACAUUAUAAAAAAUGAUUAUCCAAAAUUAGAAUCUAUGAUCAGGUGAAAUAAUAGACUGAGAACAAGCCUGUUGUUUCUGCUGCUGCUGGUGUUGUUGUUUUUGCUCUUUGAUGAAUCCAAAACAGAAAGAGGGUAGAAGAAAGUAAAGGCUGUGAUGAUGUUUCUUAUGAGCAAUGGAAUCAGGCAUUGAUUGAUGAGAAGUUGACCCGCAUCUUGGUAGGGCAACUCAGAUGGCAUACUGUUUCUAUGGGAGUGGUUGAUGACUGAUUAUGUUCCCUUUCAGGUAACCGGUGAUUUGCAGCCAUGGCGGUGUCACAUACUCAAUGCCUGAUGUACAAAUCUGAGCCUCAUAUUCAUCUUGUGGGAUUCCUUUUUCACAUUACUGGUCUUAUUGGAAAUAGAGUUUUUUUUUCCCAGUUUAGUCUUCUAGCAUUUAUAGGUUGCUCUUUUUAUUUUGAUAUUUUGUUUUGGUAGAAGGAUUUUCUGAUCUUUUCUUUUAUUGUAUAUAUAUAUUUUUUUCCUGAAACGUUAGAAGGUUUUCUUUUAUUGUAUAUGCUUUUUGGUUUUUCUCAUUUCUCUGCCAGCUUUUCUCAUAACUGCAUGGCCCAAUAUGAAUGACCACCAUGGCUUCAUUGGCUUUUUGUUUCUAUACACCAACACUGAGUUUUACUGGAAAGGGUGCUAUUCUGCAAGUUUGUCAAGUGAUUGAUGCUGUCCUUGAUAUUAGGUUCAAGGAAGGAGGGGUGCCAAUUUGAUGGCGCUGGAGGUGGUUUGAUAAUCAGAUCCAACUUGUAUUUGAGUUGGCUCAGCAUACAAGGGAGAAUUUGUUAGGUGUAUCUAUGGGCUACUCCAGGUCUUGUUUGUAGGCAGCAGGUGCCCAACAACUACUCCCGUAUUACAGUGCCUGUUGGUCGAGCUGCUCUUGGCCGUAUCAUAAGCGUCAUUGGAGAAGCUAUUGAUGAUUAGAGGUAAAAUUAUCUAGAAUCGGAUCAGUUUUAGUCUCUCCAUGUACAUCUUCAAGGAGAUCAGUUUCUCUCUUCCCAGCUUCCUGCAAGGAAUCAUAUAUCCUAUUUCCAUUUGUCCACUUUCUCUGGAUAGGCAGAGCUUAUACUACAUGGAUCUUGGGACGAUACUGAAGGGACCUUGGAUGCCCCUCUCUUUGGCAGCAACAUCUUCUCUUCAACAUCAUGCAAAAAUGCUACCACAGCUUCCCAGUUCCCAGAGCCAUGAAAAUGAAAAUGAAUCCUGUCGAGAAAGAAAAUAGAAAGGAAGCAUUGGCCCAGUUGCAAAAACUAACCAACCCGGCCAAAAAUUUAUUACAAACUUCGCCAGGAACUUGUUUCCUUUGUGA